UCAACCGAGAUUCCCCCAGUAGCGGCGAGCGAACGGGGAGGAGCCCAGAGCCUGAAUCAGCAUGUGUGUUAGUGGAAGCGUCUGGAAAGGCGCGCGAUACAGGGUGACAGCCCCGUACACAAAAGCGCAUGUGCUGUGAGCUCGAUGAGUAGGGCGGGACACGUGGUAUCCUGUCUGAAUAUGGGGGGACCAUCCUCCAAGGCUAAAUACUCCUGACUGACCGAUAGUGAACCAGUACCGUGAGGGAAAGGCGAAAAGAACCCCGGCGAGGGGAGUGAAAAAGAACCUGAAACCGUGUACGUACAAGCAGUGGGAGCACCCUUUGGGGUGUGACUGCGUACCUUUUGUAUAAUGGGUCAGCGACUUAUAUUCUGUAGCAAGGUUAACCGCAUAGGGGAGCCGGAGGGAAACCGAGUCUUAAUUGGGCGUUAAGUUGCAGGGUAUAGACCCGAAACCCGGUGAUCUAGCCAUGGGCAGGUUGAAGGUUGGGUAACACUAACUGGAGGACCGAACCGACUAAUGUUGAAAAAUUAGCGGAUGACCUGUGGCUGGGGGUGAAAGGCCAAUCAAACCGGGAGAUAGCUGGUUCUCCCCGAAAGCUAUUUAGGUAGCGCCUCGUGAAUUCAUCUCCGGGGGUAGAGCACUGUUUCGGCUAGGGGGCCAUCCCGGCUUACCAACCCGAUGCAAACUGCGAAUACCGGAGAAUGUUAUCACGGGAGACACACGGCGGGUGCUAACGUCCGUCGUGAAGAGGGAAACAACCCAGACCGCCAGCUAAGGUCCCAAAGUCAUGGUUAAGUGGGAAACGAUGUGGGAAGGCCCAGACAGCCAGGAUGUUGGCUUAGAAGCAGCCAUCAUUUAAAGAAAGCGUAAUAGCUCACUGGUCGAGUCGGCCUGCGCGGAAGAUGUAACGGGGCUAAACCAUGCACCGAAGCUGCGGCAGCGACGCUUAUGCGUUGUUGGGUAGGGGAGCGUUCUGUAAGCCUG
rnacentral:rRNA from 1 species